GAAUUUAGAAUUUAUUCAAUAUUACAGUGUUUGUAUCACAGAGAACAUCUUUGUCAUUUAUAUAGGCAAUUUUCCCUGGGGCUUCCAUGCUAUUGAACACUGUAACAUUUAUUUUGGAGAGAAUCCCUGGGGAUGGGGGAGGCAUUGUCAACAUUCCAAUGCAGCAUCAGCUAAUUCAGAUGCAACAAAGACUCUAUCAAUGCAGAAACGUGCAAAGAGCUUUCGGGAAAGUACAGCUCAUUCAACAUCGGAGAAUUCACAAUGGAGGAAAAUCAUAUGUGCGUAAUGGAUGUAAAAAUGCUUUGAGAUGGUGCCCAGAGCUAAUCAGACAUCUGGGAUUUUGUAGCAGAGAGAGGCCUUGUGAGUAUAAUGGAUGAGGAAGAACCUUCAAUCAGAGUUCCAUACUUAGACAAUAUCAGCUAAUUCAGUUGGGACUUAAAAUGGUCAUACGUAAUGAAGACGGAAAACUCGGGGAAGCGUGGAGAAUACGGAAUGUGAGAUCAUCCACACUGGAGAGAAGCCUCGGGAGUAUAAUUAGUGUGGAAAAUCACUUGGGGACAAGCUUAGCUUUUUCAUCAUUGGAGAAUUCACACAAAAAAAGGAAUGAGCUUGGACAGAUCGUGGGAGAACUUUCAGGCACUAAUCAGGCCAAUUCAUCCCCGAGAAAAACCUUGAUGACGAAGAAGGGGAAAAAGUCUUCCAGUUUUUUUCCUUAUUGGAUUUCACAGAAUCCUCAGUGAUAUAUAGAGAAACUUGCUGGAGGAGUUCAGGGUUUAUUAAUAUUCACAUUAAAGCAUUAAUCCCAUUAAAGUAGGGGUUUAAACUUUUUUACUUCUUUCACCCCAAUCAAAGCUUUCAUUCCUUACAUCUCUAUUGAGUGAAUGAAGCAACAGGCAAACAUCAAUGGUGCAUUGGCUUUGCCCUUCAAAACGUCAUACAAGCCGGGUGUGGUGGCUCAUGCCUGUAAUUCCAGCACUUUGGGAGGCUGAAGCGGGUGGAUCACGAGGUCAGGAGCUCGAGACCAGCCUGGCCAACAUAGUGAAACCCUGUCUCUACUAAAAAUACAAAAAUUAGCCGGGCAUGGUGGCACAUGCCUAUAGUCCCAGCUACUCAGGAGGCUGAGGCAGGAAAAUCUCUUGAACCCAGGAGGCGGAGGUUGUGGUGAGCCGAGAUCAUGCCUCUGCACUCCAGCCUGGGCAACAGAGCGAGACUCCAUCUCAAAAAAAAAAAACAAAAAAACAAAAAAUCAUACAAUAUGUGGGGUGCAGGACAGUAUUGAGAGGUGCUGGGUUUGGUGCCAGAAUCUGGCAGUUGCAAAUUCUAAUAUCAUCGCAACACACGCGUGGGUGGGCCCCAUAUAUCUGAUGAACUUCCAGGGGCCACAUCUCUACAAAUGCUGAAGAUUAUUUGGAGAUGGGAAAAUGGGGCUGGGGGUGCUUUUUCUCCAGGUCUGAGAAAAAUGAAGUAAUGUGUAUUUCU
rnacentral:lncRNA from 10 species